CGGGAGACCGCGUUUAGAGGAUCAGUGGCGGCCGCAUCCGCGGCCGGGCGCGGUGCGGGCGGCGGGCAGCGAGGUGCCCGAGCCCCUCCUGCUCCGGAGACAGCCCACGGCACCAGCCUCCGGAAAGCCCACUUCCUGACUUCAGCGGUGUGAAGACGAUACGAUACUUUUUUGGUGCUGGCCUUCAGCUGUCCCCCAAAGAGGUUGGCUGAUAUCCCUGCUUGGUGGAGAGGGGCCGGGGGCUAUCUGGAAAGAUAGUUCUGAUGACUUCUUCAUUGGGGGUGGCAGAGGAUUUGGGGAACGGGGCUGGGUGAAUUGCUGUUCAAACUACAUUGGGCUCUGUUUAUCUCAGAGGCCUUGGGGAUCUCAGUAGGGGAGAAGUUAGAGAAACUUAGAACACAGGAAGACAGGUGGAGGGAGUUCCUUGGCUCAGUCUUAGUACUGCCAUGCUAAAAUGAAGCCCAGGGAUGGUAAACAGAUACAACAGAGCAGGGUUUUUGGGUUCCAUGUGGGACCUUGGCCCUGGUUGCUGGGAGAUUAAGAAGUCCUUUGCAAGUUGUGGAAAGACCUAGAAGUUCCAUUUAUUCGUAAUCUUCGAGAAGUAAAUGCAAUCUCUUUUCGCUGCCUACUGGCUGGUACCGUGCAUUUCUGGCUUGUAUGAGCCUCAUUUGUGGUUCUGCCAUUUUCUCGUUCACGUUCCAGUUUGGACUUGCAGAUGAAGACCCCCAGCCUUCCCAGCUCUUGAAUUUUCUUUCCUCCCAGGCCAUUCAUAAUUUAGCCAACAGCCUAGGCCAUGGGUCGGCACACAUUCUGAGAGGUGAGCUGGGCAGGCCUGUGACUACGGGCGAGGUUGUUCUCAUUUGGGCUCAAGGGACGAUACAGCUUCCCCUUAAAAAAGCAGCAGGGAGCCAUUUCUGUGAAUCUUUUAAUGAAGGAUUUACUACUAAUUUGAUAAGUUCUGUGCUCUUUUUACUCAUUCUGGAUGAAUAACUUUGCCAGUCAACCCGAGGGUCUGCAAAACCUAUAAAAAUGCUUCCUUUGGUCUCCCUGUUUUAACACAUACUGGGGCUUGGGGCUGUCAGCCUCUGACAAACCCAGGGAGGAGCAGAAACAUUCCAAAGACCUGGUCUUAGAAUGUUAUCUCUUCCCCUACCCCAAAUCCUCACCCUCCAUGUUAUCUGUCCUUAUUGCAACUGCAGAGACCUCCUAGGGAAGUGUGAAGGGAUGGGUCUUAAUCAGGUUUGGGGAAAGAAGGAGAGGAAGUUGAACUCAAAGAAAGGUAGGGAGAGUCAGAACGUUAGAGGACGCUCCUCUGUUGUACUUCUUGUGUGUUGUAUAUGAUAGAUCUCCUACAAAUUACGCAUUGGCUGCGGUAAUCUACAGUGUAUAGGUUGGCAUUUGCCAAAUGCUGCUUGGCCAAAACAGUGUUAAAUAAAAUCGUAAGAAAUGCUA